ACUUAGUCGGAACAAACCUAGUGAAAAUAAGAUACUGGCGCUUUGUUAUGUUUCAGGAAAAUCAAAACCAAUUGCAAAAGUUUGAUCUGUUUUGUACGUGAAUUCUUAUGAAGAUUUACACAAGACAAGCGCUCUCAAGAAUGUAAAAUGUUCCCGUUGAGCAAUCCAGGAGUAUAGUAUAACGCUGGCAGGUGACAUCUAUCGAAUGAAGAAAAACUGAAGCCAACAUUUAUUGGACCUUUCGAAGUGCAAGCAGUCCUACCAAACGAUCUAUAUGCCUUGAGAAGAGUAGGAGUCCAGAAUAGAACCAAUGAGAU